AUACGUAGGGGGCAAGCGUUAUCCGGAUUUACUGGGUGUAAAGGGAGCGUAGACGGAAGGCCAAGUCUGAUGUGAAAGCCCGCGGCUCAACUGCGGGACUGCAUUGGAAACUGGUCAUCUGGAGUGCAGGAGGGGUAAGCGGAAUUCCUAGUGUAGCGGUGAAAUGCGUAGAUAUUAGGAGGAACACCGGUGGCGAAGGCGGCUUCCAGGACUGUAACUGACGUUGAGGCUCGAAAGCGUGGGGAGAAAACAGGAUUAGAUCCCCUGGUAGUCCACGCCGUAAACGAUGAAUACUAUGUGUCGGGUUUCUAUAGAGAUUCGGUGCCGCAGCAAACGCAAUAAGUAUUCCACCUGGGGAGUACGGUCGCAAGAAUGAAACUCAAAGGAAUUGACGGGG
rnacentral:rRNA from 1 species